rnacentral:rRNA from 1 species
UACGAAGGGGGCUAGCGUUGCUCGGAAUCACUGGGCGUAAAGCGCACGUAGGCGGCUUUUAAGUCGGUGGUGAAAUCCUGGAGCUCAACUCCAGAACUGCCUCCGAUACUGAAAGGCUUGAGUCCGGGAGAGGUGAGUGGAACUGCGAGUGUAGAGGUGAAAUUCGUAGAUAUUCGGAAGAACACCAGUGGCGAAGGCGGCUCACUGGACUGGUAUUGACGCUGAGGUGCGAAAGCGUGGGGAGCAACAGG